UACGUAGGGCGCAAGCGUUAUCCGGAAUUAUUGGGCGUAAAGAGCGUGUAGGCGGUUUGGUAGGUCCGCUGUGAAAACUCGAGGCUCAACCUCGAGACGCCGGUGGAAACCAUCAGACUAGAGUCCGGAAAGAGGAGAGUGGAAUUCCUGGUGUAGCGGUGAAAUGCGCAGAUAUCAGGAAGAACACCCGUGGCUAAGGCGGCUCUCUAGUACGGUACUGACGCUGAGACGCGAAAGCGUGGGGAGCGAACAGG
rnacentral:rRNA from 1 species